rnacentral:rRNA from 1 species
GAUGAACGCUGGCGGCGUGCUUAACACAUGCAAGUCGAACGGAAAGGCUCCUGCUUGCAGGGGUACUCGAGUGGCGAACGGGUGAGUAACACGUGGGUGAUCUGCCCUGCACUUCGGGAUAAGCCUGGGAAACUGGGUCUAAUACCGGAUAGGACGAUGGUUUGGAUGCCAUUGUGGAAAGUUUUUCGGUGUGGGAUGAGCUCGCGGCCUAUCAGCUUGUUGGUGGGGUAAUGGCCUACCAAGGCGUCGACGGGUAGCCGGCCUGAGAGGGUGUACGGCCACAUUGGGACUGAGAUACGGCCCAGACUCCUACGGGAGGCAGCAGUGGGGAAUAUUGCACAAUGGGCGCAAGCCUGAUGCAGCGACGCCGCGUGGGGGAUGACGGCCUUCGGGUUGUAAACUCCUUUCGCUAGGGACGAAGCGCAAGUGACGGUGCCUGGAGAAGAAGCACCGGCUAACUACGUG